UUUCCGUAGGUGAACCUGCGGGAGGAUCAUUAAAAAUGAAGCCGGGAAACCGGUCCUUCUAACCCUUGAUUAUCUUAAUUUGUUGCUUUGGUGGGCCGCGCAAGCACCGGCUUCGGCUGGAUCGUGCCCGCCAGAGGACACAACUCUGUAUCAAAUGUCGUCUGAGUACUAUAAAAUAGUUAAAACUUUCAACAACGGAUCUCUUGGUUCUG
rnacentral:misc_RNA from 1 species